rnacentral:misc_RNA from 1 species
GCAAACUUGGUCAUUUAGAGGAAGUAAAAGUCGUAACAAGGUUUCCGUAGGUGAACCUGCGGAAGGAUCAUUAAAGAGUUAGGGUCUUCCACAAGGCCCGACCUCCCAACCCUAUGUUUAAUUAAACCUUUUUGUGUUGCUUCGGCGGGCCCGUCCAUCCGUGGACCGCCGGAGGAUUACCGCGAGGUGUCCUCUGGUCCGCGCCCGCCGAUGGCCUUUACAUUUAACUUCUGAACGAAUCGUGUCAUACACAUUUCUAAGUUAUUUGAUUACAAUCAAAAAGCAAAACUUUCAACAACGGAUCUCUUGGUUCUGGCAUCGAUGAAGAACGCAGC